AAGCCGGGUUACGGUGCCCAACUGCGCGCUAACCUAGAACCCACAAAGGGUGUUGGUCGAUUAAGACAGCAGGACGGUGGUCAUGGAAGUCGAAAUCCGCUAAGGAGUGUGUAACAACUCACCUGCCGAAUCAACUAGCCCCNNNNNNGGAUGGCGCUGAAGCGCGCGACCCACACCCGGCCAUCUGGGCGAGCGCCAUGCCCCGAUG
rnacentral:ncRNA from 1 species